UCCUCGCCAGCAGCAGGUCGCGCCACGGCCUACAGCCGCUCUCUUCUAACUCUCCCAGCACCGGCAGCUCUUCUUCUUACUCUUCCAGUGCACCAUCUCGUGAUCUCGUCCAGGCUCCGCCUCCGGCAUGCGACAAAUACCAAACGACGGGCUGCAGGCGGACAGUGCACCCCAGCUGCCGUAUCUCCGCUGCGAUGCGAGC
rnacentral:lncRNA from 1 species